CCGUAGCCAGGGUGAUUAUGUUUCAUGGUGUGCUGGAGACAAUCUUGGGCAAAAUGUGUUGUCCUGGCAUGCUUAUCAGUGCUGCUCUCAUUCAUCUGCUACAGAAGUUUCAUUUGUCCACUGUGUGAAUUCAUCAUGGUGAACAGUCUUCAGCCAUUGUAGUGGAAAUUCUUCUUCAGUUGACAAUGACAGAUCUACAGAGAGGAGGAGAGACAGAGAGAAAGAUCUUUCUUCUGCUGAUUCAC